UACGAAGGGUGCAAGCGUUAAUCGGAAUUACUGGGCGUAAAGGGUGCGUAGGCGGUUAGUUAAGUCUGUUGUGAAAUCCCCGGGCUCAACCUGGGAAUGGCAAUGGAUACUGGCUGGCUAGAGUGUGUCAGAGGAUGGUGGAAUUCCCGGUGUAGCGGUGAAAUGCGUAGAUAUCGGAAGGAACACCUGUGGCGAAAGCGGCUCACUGGACCAUAACUGACGCUGAGGCACGAAAGCGUGGGGAGCGAACCGG
rnacentral:rRNA from 1 species